rnacentral:rRNA from 1 species
GACGAACGCUGGCGGUGUGCUUAACACAUGCAAGUCGAACGGUAAGGCCCUUUCGGGGGUCCACGAGUGGCGAACGGGUGAGUAACACGUGAGUAACCUGCCCUCAUCUCUGGGAUAACAGUCGGAAACGGUUGCUAAUACUGGAUAUGAGCUUGCAAGGCAUCUUGUGGGUUGGAAAGAUUUUUUUUGGUUGGGGAUGGACUCGCGGCCUAUCGGCUUGUUGGUGAGGUAGUGGCUCACCAAGGCUUCGACGGGUAGCCGGCCUGAGAGGGCGACCGGCCACAUUGGGACUGAGAUACGGCCCAAACUCCUACGGGAGGCAGCAGUGGGGAAUAUUGCACAAUGGGCGGAAGUCUGAUGCAGCAACGCCGCGUGCGGGAUGACGGCCUUCGGGUUGUAAACCGCUUUCAAUUGUGACGAAGCGUUUUUGUGACGGUAGCAGUAGAAGAAGCACCGGCUAACUACGUG